CCAAUAGCGUAUAUUAAAGUUGUUGCAGUUAAAAAGCUCGUAGUUGAAUUUCGGGAUCAAUGUUUCGGUCAUGCCGUUGGUAUGUACUGAUAUUAUUGGUUUCUCACCUUCUAAAGAACCGUAAUGCCAUUAAUUUGGUGUCACGGGGAAUUAGGACUGUUACCUUGAAAAAAUUAGAGUGUUUAAAGCAGGCUCACGCUUGAAUACAUUAGCAUGGAAUAAUGAAAUAGGACGUUCGAUCUUAUUUUGUUGGUUUCUAAGAUUGACGUAAUGAUUAAUAGGGUUAGUUGGGGGCAUUAGUAUUCAAUUGUCAGAGGUGAAAUUCUUGGAUUUAUUGAAGACUAACUACUGCGAAAGCAUUUGCCAAGGAUGUUUUCAUUAAUCAAGAACGAAAGUUAGGGGAUCGAAGACGAUCAGAUACCGUCGUAGUCUUAACCAUAAACUAUGCCGACUAGGGAUCGGAUGAUGUUAAUUUUUUAAUGACUCAUUCGGCGCCUUACG
rnacentral:rRNA from 1 species